AUAAGUUACUCAUAGUGCAUAAAAUGGAUGCCUCGACACCAAACUUCGAUGAAGGACGUGACUAGCUGCGAUAAGCUUCGGUGAGCUGCUAAGUAAGCUUUGACCCGGAGAUUUCCGAAUGGGGAAACCCUAUCCAAGUAAUGUUGGAUAAUCCGUAAAAGGAGGAUCACUCAGGGAACUGAAACAUCUAAGUACCUGAGGAAAAUAAAUCAACCGAGAUUCCCAAAGUAGUGGCGAGCGAAAUGGGAUCAGCCUAAACCAUAGGUGCGUGAUAGAUUACAGUCGUUUCACUUAUGGAGUUGCAGGAGCACUGCCCAACUGCUGUAAAAGUUGGCAAUUUAUUGCUUUAUUAGACAAAGGAUUCUGGAAAGGACCACCAUAGAGGGUAAUAGUCCCGUAGUUUAAAAUAGUGUAAUACGUUGAUGUGUUUCCUAAGUAGGAUCGGACACGUGAAAUCCGGUUUGAAUCUGGGAGGACCACCUUCCAAGGCUAAAUACGUUUGGUGAUCAAUAGUGAACUAGUACCGCGAGGGAAAGGUGAAAAGUACCCCGGCGAGGGGGAUGAAAUAGUACCUGAAAUUUUAUGCAUACAAAGUGUGGGAGCCCUUCGGGGUGACCGCGUACUUAUAGGAGAACGGACCAUCGAGUUAGCUGUACGGCGCUUGGUUAAGGGAGUUAUACCCGGAGCCAUAGUGAAAGCGAGCCUUAAUAGGGCGUUUGUGUCGUGCACUAGACCCGAAACCGGGUGAGCUACCCAUGGACAGGUUGAAGGUUAUCUAGCGAUAACUGGAGGACCGAACACACGCAUGUCACAAGAUGCGGUGAUGAUCUGUGGGUAGUGAUGAAAUUUCUAUCGAACCCGGAGAUAGCUGGUUCUCGCCGAUAUAGCUUUAGGGCUAGCCUUAUGUUAAACCUUACGGGGGUAGAGCUCUGUUUAGGCUAGGGGGCGAAAUAAGUCUACCAAACCUAGAUAAACUUCGAAUACCGUGAGGCUCUUUCAUAGGAGUCGGACAGUGACAGCAAAGUGCCAUUGUCGUGAGGGGAACAGCCCAGAUCGUCAUCUAAGGUCCCUAAUAAUAUCUAAGUGGGAAAGGAUGUGAAAUUGCACAAACAACCAGGAGGUUGGCUUAGAAGCAGCCACCCUUUAAAGAAAGCGUAAUAGCUCACUGGUCGAUGUGAUCUCGCGCCGAAAAUCCAACGGGGCUAAGAUAUUAACCGAAGAUGCGAAUUAUACCUAGUAUAAUGGUAGGCGAGCGUUGUUAUUGCUGUGAAGUCGAAUCGUAAGGUUCGGUGGAGCGAUAACAAGUGAGAAUGAUGGUAUGAGUAACGUUUUAAUCUCGAUGAAAAAUCGGGACACCGAAAACCCAAGGUUUCCCAAGCAACGUUAAUCGACUUGGGGUUAGUCGGUCCUAAGGCGAGGCCGAAAGGCGUAGCUGAUGGACAACAGGUUAAUAUUCCUGUACAACCUAAUAAUCGUCCAAGCAAUACUUUUCAUAAUUUGGGAGGUUUGAUUGAAACUUCGGUUUCUUGAUAACCAAACAAUGCAUGGGAGGUGGCGCUAGCUCAGGGGUAACACAUCAGGAUAAUUGGAGCGUGUUAAUGAAUUCACGUACAAGUAAUUAGUUUAUGCUUAAGUAGGUAAAUCCGCUUAGGUUCGCGAGUUACUAUGUAAAAUGCUUCCCGCGAGGGGAGAGAUUCCAAUGAUUUCAGGUGUCGAGAAAAACCUCGGUAGCGAGAGGAUUAGGUUACCGUACCGCAAACCAACGCUGGUGGGUGAGUUGAGAAUACUAAGGUGAUCGGGAUAACUUGUGCUAAGGAACUCGGCAAAACAACGGGCGUAACUUCGGGAUAAGCCCUGCCGUAUACAUACUUUUAUAGUCUUGUAUUCGGCCUCAGUAAAAGAUUCCACGCAACUGUUUACCAAAAACACAGGUCUCUGCAAAUCCGUAAGGAUAAGUAUAGGGGCUGACGCCUGCCCAGUGCCAGAAGGUCACGAGGAGGGGUGAGAGCUCUGAAUCUAAGCCCUGGUGAACGGCGGCCGUAACUAUAACGGUCCUAAGGUAGCGAAAUUCCUUGUCAGGUAAAUUCUGACCCGCACGAAUGGCGUAAUGGUGUGGAAACUGUCUCGGCACAAGACCCGGUGAAAUUGCAUUACUGGUAAAAAUGCCAGUUAAUCAUGGUAGGGCGAAAAGACCCCGUGCAGCUUUACUACAGCUUGACAUUGAGUCGAGGUAUAUCAUGCGCAGGAUAGAUGGGAGGCUUUGAAGUUUGGACUUUGGUCCAGGUGGAGCCAUCCUUGAGAUACCAUCCUUGAUAUAUUUUGCCUCUAACGAAUAGUGUUAAUCCGCUAUUCGGACAGUGUUUGGUGGGUAGUUUGACUGGGGCGGUUGCCUCCUAAAGAGUAACGGAGGCGUGCAAAGGUUCUCUAGGUCUGGAUGGAAAUCAGACUGGUCGUGUAAUCGCAUAAGAGAGCUUAACUGUGAGACUUACAAGUCGAACAGGUGCGAAAGCAGGUGAUAGUGAUCCGAUAUCUUCCACGUGGGUGGGAUAUCGCUCAUCGGACAAAAGUUACGCCGGGGAUAACAGGCUUAUCGCGCCCAAGAGUUCAUAUCGACGGCGCGGUUUGGCACCUCGAUGUCGGCUCGUCGCAUCCUGGGGGUGGAGCAUCUCCCAAGGGUUUGGCUGUUCGCCAAUUAAAGCGGUACGCGAGCUGGGUUCAGACCGUCGUGAGACAGGUCGGCCUCUACCCUCCAUGAUCGUAGGAAAUUUGAGAGAAGCUGUCCCUAGUACGAGAGGACCGGGAUGGACGAACCUCUAGUGUAUCUGUUGUCGUGUCAACGGCAUUGCAGAGUAGCUAUGUUCGGAAGGGAUAACCGCUGAAAGCAUCUAAGUGGGAAGCCCCGCUCAAGAUAAGAUUUCCCCAUUAGCCUCCAGGGAGACUACCUGGUUGAUAGGCUUCAGGUGUAAGUGCAGUGAUGUGCUCAGCCGAGAAGUACUAAUAGGCAAUCGACUUAUUUUA
rnacentral:rRNA from 1 species